AAAUUAAUAAAAAAAAGAAGUUAAUAAAUCUUAGUGUUAGAAUAUUUAUUUAAAAUAAAAUAAUACCGACUUUAACAAUUUCAGAAAUUAAAGAAUCUCCCAAUGGAUCAAAAAAUUAACUUGGAACUUUUGCACCAUAACCAAGAGAUACGAUCUGUGCGAUCACGAAAGAGUUUGGAAAAAGACUUAAAAAUAUUUCAAGCACAAACUGAUUUGAUUCAAGGAAGACAUGCUAUUGGCAAACAAAGAAAAUGACUCUAUGCAAUGCGAAAACUUUGAAAGGCAAAAGAGCUCUACUAAUAAAUAUAUAUCAAAGCCUCAAAUAAAAAUACGACAACGUUCCGACCAGGAAAUUGCAAACUGGAAAAACCGACGACAGCCUCUCAACUCAAUUGAAAAUUUUGAGCAAAACCCACGUACCUCAAAUAGACAUCGACGCAUGCCGCACAAAUUUCUCGAUAUAUAUUAAAAUAUGAACUAGAGUGAAAGGAAUUUACGUAGGACGCUUAUGUUCAAAGGCAAGUGAUCUUAUAAUGACAUACGUGCAUCGUUUGUACGUGUGAUAUUAGAAAUAACAUGACAGCAAAAAAUGCUCCUUUCAGUUUUUUCUUUUAUUUUCUUGUUAUAAAAAUUCAUACAUAUAUAUUUUCUGAAAAUUAAAGUAUAUACAAUAGAAAUGUACAAUAAAAAUGUACUUUAUAUGCUUUGUUGAUUGAUUAAGAAAGAUUUUUAUAAGUGAUAUAAGUGCAAUACAAAAAACUAGAAAUGAAAAUAUUGUCAGAAUUAAAAGUAAAUUAAGCAUUAAACGGGUAAAAUUGCACAAAUAAUACAAUUAAUAUUACAAUGCAAAGCGUUGAUCACUGACAUGUUAUAACACAUACAGUGUACUACAUCAUCGUAAACAGUAAUAUUGCUGUUUUGAGCUACUUUGUGAAAUAUAAUCUAAAUAAAUCUAUGUAGAGGAUGUAAUUACUUUGUAAUUUGAAAUUGAAAAUUAACUUUAAUUGAUGUAUUUGCAAUUUUAUAAAAAUAAACCGAUGGAAAGUACUAGUGAAUUGUACUUUUUUUAGUUACAGAUGCAAGUAAUAAAAGAAUCGCAUUUCGCAUAUUUGUGUAGGAUAUCCUGCUUAUAAAUGCCUAUUCUCUUUCCUCUCUUUAAUGAAAAGAGUAAAGGACUUUUUGGAAAUAUGUAUCAAAUUGUAAAUGGUUUUUAUAGAGAUAGAUAUUUAUAUAUCGGACAUGUUAUAUGUGUAUAUAACCCACGUGAUUACAAACUACAGAGUCGAAGUCAUGACCAUUACAAUUACAGAGUCAUAUCUACAUAAACAUUAGAUACAAGCAAUACAACAAUGUUAUUAACAUUGAAAACUUUCACCUAAUGUUUAUGUAUAAUUCACUCAUUUUCAUGCAGUUUGACAGGUGUAAAGUUAUGAGGUUAUGACCUCUAACAUUCAGCUUUUAAAAUUAUCAUACCGGCAUUAGAAUCAUGUUAAUACUUUUAUUUUAUUAUGAGAUACCUGUUUUGAACGUAAAUUGCUUGAAACUACACAUUGCAUUGACAGGAAAGCCAUGCAACAAUGACUUAAUGACAGAUCUGUCCGAGCAAUAUACAUUUUUCUUGAAUAAUGUGACAUACCCCUUCGAGGAUG